rnacentral:rRNA from 1 species
CAAGGGGGCCACGGGCUACGCCAUCCCCGCGCCCCGGCCGAAACCGAGACGCCAAGGAUGACCGCGCAACCGAUGGUGGUGUUUUGUAUUCAACGUCUCCUAAUCGCUGGUCGGCAUCGUUUAUGGUUAAGACUACGACGGUAUCUGAUCGUCUUCGAUCCCCUAACUUUCGUUCUUGAUUAAUGAAAACAUCCUUGGCAGAUGCUUUCGCAGAAGUUAAUCUUUCAUAAAUCCAAGAAUUUCACCUCUGACAAUUAAAUAUUAAUGCCCCCAACUAUCCCUAUUAAUCAUUACCCUAGUCCUCGCGCUGCCAAAACCAACUGAAAAUAGGAGGACAGGGUCCUAUUCCAUUAUCCCAUGCUAAUGUAUUCGGUGGCAGAAAAUUGGAUCUGCCUGCUUUGAACACUCUAAUUUUUUCACGGGAAACGAUCUGGGCCAGAACUGGGCCUUCACGG